rnacentral:rRNA from 1 species
CCUGGUUGAUCCUGCCAGUAGUCAUAUGCUUGUCUCAAAGAUUAAGCCAUGCAUGUGUAAGCACACACUGUUUUAAAAGUGAAGCCGCGAAUGGCUCAUUACAACAGCCACAGUUUAUUAGAACUUACAAUCAUGGAUAACUGUGGUAAUUCUAGAGCUAAUACACGCACAAAAACUUCAACUGAAUUGGUUGAAGUGCUUUUAUUAGAACAAAAACCGAACGGCGUUUGGCGAAUGUUGAACGUCGAAACUGUUUGGUGAAUCUGAAUAACUAUUUCUGAUCGCAUGGUCUAGCACCGGCGACAUCACUUUCAAGUGUCUGCCUUAUCAACCUUCGAUGGUAGUCUAUGCGACUACCAUGGUGAUAACGGGUAACGGAGAAUCAGGGGUCGACUCCGGAGAGGGAGCCUGAGAAACGGCUACCACAUCCAAGGAAGGCAGCAGGCGCGCAAAUUACCCACUCCCAGCUUGGGGAGGUAGUGACGAAAAAUAACGAGACGAUUCUCGUUUGAGAAACGUUAUCGAAAUGAGUACGCUUUACACACGCUAACGAGUAGCAAUUGGAGGGCAAGUCUGGUGCCAGCAGCCGCGGUAAUUCCAGCUCCAAUAGCGUAUAUUAAAGUUGCUGCGGUUAAAACGCUCGUAGUUGAAUUGUGGUCUUAGACAACAGUCCCCCUACAUAGGUGUGGCACGGUUGCUCGAGAUCUUCAUUCGUGGUUGCUGUUGUUGCUCUUCAUUGAGUGUCAAUGGUGCCUCGAGAUUUUACUUUGAAAAAAUUAGAGUGCUCAAAGCAGGUUGUGAUGCCUGAAUAAUGGUGCAUGGAAUAAUAGAAUACGAUCUCGGUUCUAUUUUGUUGGUUUUCGAACCGGAGAUAAUGAUUGAAAGGAACAGACGGGGGCAUUCGUAUUGCUGCGUUAGAGGUGAAAUUCUUGGAUCGCAGCAAGAUGAACAAUUGCGAAAGCAUUUACCAAGAAUGUUUUCAUUAAUCAAGAACGAAAGUUAGAGGUUCGAAGGCGAUCAGAUACCGCCCUAGUUCUAACGGUAAACUAUGCCAACCAGCGAUUCGCCGAAGUUCAUUUAAGACUCGGCGAGCAGCUUCCGGGAAACCAAAGUGUUUCGGUUCCGGGGGAAGUAUGGUUGCAAAGCUGAAACUUAAAGGAAUUGACGGAAGGGCACCACCAGGAGUGGAGCCUGCGGCUUAAUUUGACUCAACACGGGAAAACUCACCCGGCCCGGACACUGGAAGGAUUGACAGAUUGACAGCUCUUUCUUGAUUCAGUGGGAAGUGGUGCAUAGUUGCUCUACUGUUGCAUUGAAUUCAAAAUCAACGGCGUUUACAGCAAAUAUACUGUGGAUUUGCUCCAAAUGGUUCAUGCGUCGUUUCACAAACAUUCGGAAAUUAUUUUUGUCAGCACUGAAGGCGUGCACAACGCAAUCGACGAAGAUAUGGUCAGUAAUGUGUUGUAUCACGCGGAUGUUAUUGAAUUUCAUAUACCCGGUACGGAAAAUUUCGCAAAACUCUACACCCAUGCUAUAGGGCAAAUGCUCAGAGAUGCUGC